GAAAUUAAUUUAAUAAAAAUAACAACAAUAAAAAAAUAGAGUCUGCCCGACAUCAGACAGACUCCACAGUACACACAGUCGUGCGUCCUUUCGCGGAUCCUACAUGCAUUAUCCAUUGGGCAGGUUUAUUAAGUUAUAACAGCUUCUUCUUAAAAGAGAAGGACGUUGA
rnacentral:misc_RNA from 1 species